rnacentral:rRNA from 1 species
UGGGGAAUAUUGCACAAUGGGCGCAAGCCUGAUGCAGCCAUGCCGCGUGUGUGAAGAAGGCCUUCGGGUUGUAAAGCACUUUCAGCGAGGAGGAAGGUGGUGAGCUUAAUACGCUCAUCAAUUGACGUUACUCGCAGAAGAAGCACCGGCUAACUCCGUGCCAGCAGCCGCGGUAAUACGGAGGGUGCAAGCGUUAAUCGGAAUUACUGGGCGUAAAGCGCACGCAGGCGGUUUGUUAAGUCAGAUGUGAAAUCCCCGGGCUCAACCUGGGAACUGCAUUUGAAACUGGCAAGCUAGAGUCUCGUAGAGGGGGGUAGAAUUCCAGGUGUAGCGGUGAAAUGCGUAGAGAUCUGGAGGAAUACCGGUGGCGAAGGCGGCCCCCUGGACGAAGACUGACGCUCAGGUGCGAAAGCGUGGGGAGCAAAACAGGAUUAGAUACCCUGGUAGUCAGCGCUGUAAACGAUGUCGAUUUUGGAGGUUGUGCCCUUGAGGCGUGGCUUCCGGAGCUAACGCGUUAAAUCGACCGCCUGGGGAGUACGGCCGCAAGGUUAAAACU